CGGGGCGUGGCUCAGUCUGGCAGAGCACCUGGUUCGGGAUCAGGGGGUCGCAGGUUCAAAUCCUGCCGCCCCGA
rnacentral:tRNA from 4 species